AAUCACUGACCCACCCCACCCCCAUUUCAUUUUUCUCCUUUGGAAAGUAAAUGCUGAGAUCUACCUGGAAGGAUAUGAAAGCGAUGGAAUCGCAGGAUGUCCUGGCACCUAGUGGGUGCUCACAUAGGAUGUCUCCUUUUCCAGGACAAACUUGGAUUUAUUUACACCAAAGGUCUACUGUGGGAUCUUGGGCCCGCCAGCCCUCUGAACCUGUUUCUUCUGCAAAAUGAGGAUAGUAACACUUACCUCCUAGGGGUGUUGGCAGCACCACUUUAGACCGGAGGUUCUCAUAGUGUGUUCCCCGGACCAGCAGCAUCAGCAUCACCUGGGAAUUUGUCAAAGAUGCAAAUUCUCAGCCUGCCAUCGAUUUACUGAAUCGGGAACUCUAAGGGUGGGGU
rnacentral:lncRNA from 1 species